UACAGAGGGUGCGAGCGUUAAUCGGAAUUACUGGGCGUAAAGCGCGCGUAGGCGGCUUUGCAAGUCGGGUGUGAAAUCCCCAGGCUUAACCUGGGAACUGCAUUCGAGACUGCAUAGCUAGAGUAUGGGAGAGGGAAGUGGAAUUUCAGGUGUAGCGGUGAAAUGCGUAGAUAUCUGAAGGAACAUCAGUGGCGAAAGCGACUUCCUGGACCAAUACUGACGCUCAUGUGCGAAAGCGUGGGGAGCAAACAGGAUUAGAAACCGGUAGUCC
rnacentral:rRNA from 1 species